CUCAGAUUGAACGCUGGCGGCAGGCCUAACACAUGCAAGUCGGGCGGUAACAGGGAGAAGCUUGCUUCUCCGCUGACGAGCGGCGGACGGGUGAGUAAUGUAUGGGGAUCUGCCUGAUGGCGGGGGAUAACUACUGGAAACGGUAGCUAAUACCGCAUAAUGUCUUCGGACCAAAGCGGGGGACCUCCGGGCCUCGCGCCAUCAGAUGAACCCAUAUGGGAUUAGCUAGUAGGUGAGGUAACGGCUUACCUAGGCGACGAUCCCUAGCUGGUCUGAGAGGAUGAUCAGCCACACUGGGACUGAGACACGGCCCAGACUCCUACGGGAGGCAGCAGUGGGGAAUAUUGCACAAUGGGCGCAAGCCUGAUGCAGCCAUGCCGCGUGUAUGAAGAAGGCCUUCGGGUUGUAAAGUACUUUCAGUCGGGAGGAAGGUGGUGAGCUUAAUACGCUCAUCAA
rnacentral:rRNA from 1 species